GAGGUGCCUGGAGAGAUGGGUGAAAUAGGUGAAAGAGAUUAAGAGGUAAAAUCCUCCAGGUAUAAAAUAACUCAGUCAUGGAGAUGACAAGUACAG